rnacentral:lncRNA from 1 species
UGUUAAGAAUCUGCAUGAAACAUGAGAGUACAAAUUUUGGCAUAAAAGUGUAAGCUGGAACAUGCCUCAGCAAGCAUAUCAUCAUUCUCUAUCUUGGAAAUUUGACGAAUAUAGUGGUGAAAAUGAUGACAGGUUUCUCAUGCACUCAGGGAACCAAAUCUUGCAGCAUCAGAUUGAUGCAACCCUACAAGCAUGCCAUUGUCUCUUGGCGUUGAUACAAGUACACUAGUUGACAAGGGAGAUAACACGUAGGCGCAUUUGGUUGAUAUGGCAUUUUCAUCUGGUUGACAUCUGAUAGGGCAUAUCUUGGGAACCUACAACAUGUCGGAUUGUAUCUCUCGAUCAACGUAAAUUUCACAAAGGUUGGGCGGCGUUGAUCAAGUAUAGUGUCGUCUCGACCUUUUCGAAUGAGUAUCGCACUGACCCGUAAAGAUCGAAGAUUGGAUCAGCAUGGUGUCGAUCAAGUACAGUG